rnacentral:lncRNA from 1 species
GCAUAUGAUAGAGUUGCCUUCUCUAUUUCAUCCUAUUUCUAAAAGGCUUAUGUGGAGCUUAAGGUAGGGAUGAAAGGAGAUAGCAUACUUACUUUGCAUGUGUUGCGAAGUCAAAGCUCGGAUCCUUGAAGAGAAGUGUCAUACUCCCAGAUCAAGAUGUGCAAGUGUGAUAUAUGGUGGACUAGGUUGCUCCUUUAUUUGCUACACUCUCUCUACUUGUAUAUUGAGACAUGGCUAGCAUUUUCUUUUUCUUCGAGCUUUAUGUGCUCAAUUUUUUUUUUUGUGGACUUGCACAUGUCCAUCUUUUUAUUUCAUUUUGCCUAGGCUUUUGAUGUCUCAUUUACCAAAUAAUGCUUAGAGAGAGAUAUUCUAACAUUUAGAGUAUGGAGCAACCUAUUUAGUGAAUGCGAAAUACAUGUGGUUGCGUACUUCCAGUGUAGAAGCAGCAUAUAUAUAUGUGGUGUGUACGUGAUCUUGAUCUUAGGAGCAUGAAAAGUCUCUUAACAGGGGUCAACAAGACUUGACGACACUCAACACAAAGCAAAUAGCUUAUGUGGAAAGGUUGCAAUCAUGUAAAGUAGAUAUAGCUGUGGUAGGAAUUCAUCACCAUUGAGGAACAAUUAAGGGUUUGAUCAUUUUAAGAAUAAAUCUCUGAUAAUCAUGCAUGCUUAGAAUAAUAUUAUAGCAGCUCUUGUCUCACUAUCUCAUGUCCCACAGCAACUUAGACUUAGUUCUAGCACUUGCAACCCACAAAGUUUUCAGGUUCAUGGCAGUUUAAGUGAGCUAAGUGAUCCAUACUUGGAGAAAUACUAAGUUGUAUACUAGGUACUAGAGAAACAUUAACAAGCAACUAGUCAUCAUUUCCAUGAGGGAUAUAGACAUACAUGAAGCAUAUAUGCUAAAGGGAAAUGCUAAUUUUUUUUUAGAGCAAGAAUGAUAAAAUGCAUGGAAAUAAAUAGGAUAGAAUACUUACCUUGGUGGGGGAGAGGAUCUCCCCCAAGCUUGUCCUUCCUCACUGGGGUGGAUACGAUGGAUAUGGUGGAUAUGGUGGAGGAUAUUGCUGUGGAGGAUAUUGUGCAGGAGGAGGUGGAUAUGCAUGUGGUGGUUGAGG